UUGUCUACAAGGCUUGCAUCACUGUGAAACUCAGCUUACUAAAUUCUUAUUUGCUGGUUUUCAGGUGAAGAAAUGCCGGUCCCAGGAGGAUUAUAUCAAGGUGAUGCGCCUCAGAGAAGGGAAGAAAAAGAAGAAAUGCCAGCCGAUAGAAAAAUAUUCCUCAGGCGAUUUCAAGGCGACGUUCCCACCGAGAGGAGACAGGAAUCCUUGCAGCGAUUGGGUUCGCUGUGCCUGCAUCUAGGAGGGCUUGAAACUUGGGCUGAAGAAUGGGGACCAUAAAAUGAAUAGAUAAGGUAUUUACGUUACAGCAAUCAUGGCAAGUAGCUUAGAGGAGGGAGCAAUAAAAUUGUUUCUGUAGUAAAUGUUGCCAUAACCGCAAUAAAGAUUGAUUGCUGAAAAAAA